AUUGAACGCUGGCGGCAGGCCUAACACAUGCAAGUCGAACGGUAACAGGAAGCAGCUUGCUGCUUUGCUGACGAGUGGCGGGCGGGUGAGUAAUGUCUGGGAAACUGCCUGAUGGAGGGGGAUAACUACUGGAAACGGUAGCUAAUACCGCAUAACGUCGCAAGACCAAAGAGGGGGACCUUCGGGCCUCUUGCCAUCGGAUGUGCCCAGAUGGGAUUAGCUAGUAGGUGGGGUAACGGCUCACCUAGGCGACGAUCCCUAGCUGGUCUGAGAGGAUGACCCGCCACGCUGGAACUGAGACACGGUCCAAACUCCUACGGGAGGCAGCAGUGGGGAAUAUUGCACAAUGGGCGCAAGCCUGAUGCAGCCAUGCCGCGUGUAUGAAGAAGGCCUUCGGGUUGUAAAGUACUUUCAGCGGGGAGGAAGGGAGUAAAGUUAAUACCUUUGCUCAUUGACGUUACCCGCAGAAGAAGCACCGGCUAACUCCGUG
rnacentral:rRNA from 1 species